rnacentral:lncRNA from 1 species
UUUUCUAGAUUUUAAGAGCCUUCAACAAAGACAGGCUGGCAAUCCCUUUAUGAAAAGGGAAGGAAAAUGAGUUAUUCAAAAUUAGGCACAGGAAAAAUUCAGAAUGACAGUAUCAUGCACUUCAAAUGCAGUUUUAAAGGAGUUAAGGGCUCUUUCAUCAUCAAAUCAUAGUUCUGCUUCCCAUGAUGUCUGUAAUUAGAGACUCAGCUCACUCAUUAUGAAUUUAUUCCAAAGGACACAAGUGUUCCAGUUACACCCUCUCUAGAAGAUCAUCUCUUGGGAAUAUGCACCUUUUAGGAGUUAAAUGCUCAAGAUCCAAAGCCAGACUAGAGUGGAAUUCAGCCCUACCACUUCCCAGCUGUGUGAUCUUGGCUAAAUUUCUUGGCCACUCUGGGCCCUAGCCAUCCAUGGGUAAAAUGAGGAAGUUGAUUGUCCUCACCAUAUAGGUGACAGGGAUGAUGUGAGUUGCUAUUCACAACGCACUUAAAGCAGAGCCCAACCCAUGGAAAAUGCUUCAUGAUAGUGCCUGUUCAAUAAAACUUGACAUUCCAGCAGUGGUUUCUCAUCACUUCCUAUGGGCUGCCUUCUGCCUUCUGAAUUUAACCAUGGUGUACAUUAACCCAAGCAACUUGGAGGCCUUAUUCUCAGAGUACCUACUUUUCUUUCCCUUGCCCUAGUUUUUCAGUAGAAAAACAAAGAUCAAGUUAACAGGCCUGGCUUCCUCUAGAAAGGACUCCCAAUGCAUCAAUUCUUUCUUGUUUGUCCUCAGCAGACUGGAAUCAUGGAGGCUGGAGCAAGAGUCCAACUAGGCAUAGGGGUACAAAUAUGUUGGGGAGGGGUCCAGUCGCCACAUCUUUUUUAUUUCCUGGCCCAUGAGGAGGUGGAAGCGAUCAUAGGGCACUGGUUCCUAAGGUUUCUCUGGAGCAGUGCUUCUCAAACAGGGUGUCUGUAGCCCUCGGGGACAUUGGGUCUUGCCUACAGACAGUUUCCGUUGUCAUGUCUUGAAGCGAUAGCGCCACUGGCAUCUAGUGGGUGGGGAUGGGGACACGGCUAUACCUCCUGCCACGCACAGGCCCCCUCAACAAAGCAUGAGUGAGGGGCAGAAUCAGAGCUGCAGCUGCCUGUCUAUGUCACAGCCACAGCAAUGCCAGAUCCAAGCCCCAUCUAUGACCUACACCACAGCUCGAGGAAAGGCUGGAUCCUUAACUCACUGAGCAGAGCCAGGGAUUGAACCUGUGUCCUCAUGGAUAUGUGUUGGGUUCAUUUCCUCUAAGCACAACGGGAGCUCCACCUGCGUUUCUCAGAACUGAGAUCUCAGGCUCU